UACGUAGGGGGCAAGCGUUGUCCGGAAUUAUUGGGCGUAAAGAGCGCGUAGGCGGUCCGAUAAGUCGGCUGUGAAAGUCAUGGGCUCAACCCAUGAAAGCCGGCCGAUACUGUCGGACUAGAGUCCGGAAGAGGCAAGUGGAAUUCCCGGUGUAGCGGUGAAAUGCGCAGAUAUCGGGAGGAACACCAAUGGCGAAGGCGGCGACCUGGGUAGAUACUGACGCUGAGGUGCGAAAGCGUGGGGAGCAAACAGG
rnacentral:rRNA from 1 species